rnacentral:lncRNA from 1 species
CCCCAUCAAGUCACACAUCAUCAUUAUAUAAAGUUUAAACAAUAAAAACAAACUAAGAAAACAAGAGAAUAAUAAAAAAGAAUAAACUCAAGAAUUAUAAUUUUGAUCUUCCAAGUCUUCUUGAAUCCUUCAAAAUCUUCUCAACUUCAAUGAAUUUGUGGCUUGACUCUCAGUUUUCAAUCUGGUGUUUCUUCUUCUUCUCUCUUUUUCCCUUAAGUCUUUCGAAAGGUUGCUUUUAUAGGCUUUUAAGUUAGGUCAAGUUGGGUGAAGAAAGAAGUCAAUUUCAACUGGGAUGUCCUCAUCAGACUAUGUAAGUCGCAGCUUUGCCAAAUUAAUUAACAGAAAUCGUAAUUGCUCUAGGACUGCUAUAGUACAUUAACUUCGACAAGAUUUUUUGCCAUCCUACAGACUGAAUUGGGUGAAAUGGUAAACAUGAAAGUUGUAGAUCUUUCUCUUAUCUUUCUAAUGGUCAAGAAUCACUUCAUUUGGAUCUCUGUAGAGAAAGUUAUGGCCGAAAUACCAAAAUAUGUGCAGUGUAAGUCUGCACCUCGAAAUUGCUCUCAUUCUUUUACUAAAAUUAUUCUUUCAAAUACCUACAAAAACAUAAUUAAAUUAAUAACAACCUAUCUUAGCCAUAUUAACACCAAAUUAAGCAUAAAAUUAACCAUGGUUAGAUUGACUCACCUAAAAUAACUAAUUUAAAAUAAUUAAAUAAAAUCUAUUAAUUUCUACGUAUUACUACAAGAACUAAAUUAAAUUAAUAUCAAAAUUAAGCUCGAAUAACUCUAUAUGUCACGACCCGAAACUCUUAUCGAGCCCGUGACAACCAUCGCGACGUCUCGAUAGGCACUCAUUACCUCGAAUGCCGAUCGAAACCCGCAAGGCUUAGCAUCAGCUUCCGUAUCUCCCCAGUGAGCGACAGUUAUUAAAUCUUGCAUUUCAAGAAAUCAUAAGUCGUUUCCAAAUCAAAAUAAUAAUAUAUUAUUUUCUAGCUCACAGGGGCAUUUUAGUCAUUUUUCUUCUAUAAUACCGAAACUCACCAAAACAAUGGUGUAAAAGCUAAAUAUGUUCAUACAUAUUUUAAAUCAGAUAACUAAAGUAUAAAAUUACUUUUACAAUGACAUGUGGGCCCCCAACUAACCAAUAAGAUGCAAGUAUGUGAACCUAUAAUUUUGACAAUGCAAGGCUAACUGAAGUCCUUGAUGCAAUCGGCUAUCUACCGGCUAUCUCGAACCUGAAAUGUGGGGAAUUGAGGGUGGUGAGAUUAUAAAAUCCUAGUGAGUAAACAGACACCAUCUAAACUAUCUAAAGGCGAGUAAAUGGAAACAAUUAAAAAUAAUUAAUUUCAGUAAAUUUUUCACAUCACGAAUAUUCAUUUUAACCAAAUAAUCAAUAUAGCUUGUGAAUUACUCAAAACUUGGCUCAUGCCAAAUCUUGUACUCGGGGACACUUGGACCAGGGGUAUCCAACCGAGUCUGCCAAGGCUGUUAAAAAUUCAUAUUUCGCAUAAAUCAUAUUUUUAUUUUGAAACAUAGCAGUUCCUUGGAGUUGGCUGAGUCUCACUCUCAUGCGGUGGUCCAUGUGAAGUGUACUCAAAAAGCCCACCUCAGGAGAUACCCUACGCGCCUCUACGACCGAGGUGAGAAUAUAAAGGAGUUUACCGUGCCCCUCUAAUAGGUUGGCCCACGGAACCCCCCACCACUGCAGUAGCUAAUCUUUUAUCUACCACCUGAUUUAUAAAAUCAUUUUCUGCAUGACAUGGCAAUUUAUCGCAGCCUAGCCUCUUAAGGCUAAAUACACAGUAUUUUAACACCAAAAUCAGUUUAGCCAUUCGUGCUCAUUUAUUGUCAUAAGCCAUUCAAUUUAAAACCAUAAAUUUACAACACAAGCAGGCAGUCUCCAAUUACUCUAUUUUCAAAACCAGUAUUCGAUUUUCCAGAAAAUUUAUAAAAUCAUUUUAUAAAAUCACAAUUUCUCUUAAAGCAUAGCAAUUUACCAUUUAAACCCAUUUUCCAUAAAAUCACACAAUUGUAUAAAACUACUCUAGAUAAUUAAGACGAUAAUAAGUUUACUCACAGUUUUCGAAAACUAAAUUCGGGUACUCCAACUAUUACUCAUCGGGUGCGAUUUCUUUGCCCUUGCCAAAAGAUUCGCCACCUUAACAAAUUGCACAAUUAAGAGGUUUACUACUUUGGUACUAAACCAAAAUAAACUAAUUUAUACUACUAAUGCAUGAUAUGAAGUGCAAAAUGUCUAAAUUUUGCCUAAAUAAGAUGUUAGCCUAUUUCGGUCUUUUACCCGAUAAAUCGAUAUACGCAUUCGUUUAAACUCCAAAUUAAUUUUUUUCAGUUUCUAUACCUCAUUUGCACCCAAAUUGACUUAAUGUUCCUCAGUGUGGUGCAAAUUAUCAGUCUCGAUAGCAAAUUACGAAAAUACCCCUAGUGGGUAAAAAUUUGUAUUUUUACUCCGAAAAUUCCCAUUAUUUUUCUAAGCUCAUAAUUCAUCAUUAUUCAUCAUAAUUCCUCAAACAAACAUCAAGAUCAGCAGCCAAUAUUCCCCUAGAAAAUUCGGCCAAUAAUGGUAAUGAAGGAAAAUGAAUUUUUUUCUUGUUGUUUUGUUUCUAAAUAUGCUAAACUAACUUAAAACACUAAAAUAACUUAAAAUCAAAUUAAUCUAACUUCAUUCUCUCUCCAUACCCAUUUGGGCAGCCAUGAAUUCACCAUGAAAACAUGAAAUCUAACCAUGGAAAAUAAAGAGAAAUGCAUGGGAAAGGUAGAUCACAAGUCAAAAUCAAGAAAUUUUACCUUUGAUUGCUUGAUUCCUUAAAAUCCACCAAUUUCCCUUUAAUUUUCCCACCUAGGUUUCUUGUUUUUUCCUUUCCUCCUUUUGUUCUUCCUUUUUCUUUGUUUGGCCGCCCUGUGAAAGAAAAUUGGCUGAUUUUUAUAUUUAUUUUAAAGUUAAAUAAUUAAUGAAUAUAAACUUGACACAUGUCACCUUAUUAUUAGUCCAUGUGUCAUUUCUUAACUAUUAAGCUUUCUCUUUCCACCACACAUUAUUCAAGGGUCAAAAAUGAUGAUGGGUGAAGCCGUGUGCUGGAAAAAUGCUCUGGGGGUGCAAAAUUACCGUUUUGCCCCCGGGGUGGUAAAAUUACAUUUUUGCCCCAAAAAUUGAAAAAAUUACCCAUAGACAUAUUUUUCAUCCCUUAUACUCAUACCAUUCUCCAAUUUUUCAAUGUGAUCUAAAUUCUCUCAAAAUCUCAAAUUUUGUCCGUGAGUGGAAAAAUUACGAUUUUGCCCCUACACUCCAGAAAUCACCGGAAUUAAACUUUUUCACUGCCAAACCCUCAAAUUAUACUCCAAUACUCAAAUCAUACUCGAAUAAGUUAAAUGGGGCCAAAAAAAUCUUUUUUCAAAAUUCUCAUUUUGUCCCCAAGUGGCAAAUGACCAUUUUACCCCUAGAUAAUGAAAAUUUCAGUUUGACUCCAAAUUGAUCCUCAAACUCCGAAUUACCAUUUUGAGUCAUCCUUGAACUGUGAAACUCUUAAUUUCACCUCAAAAUUCCUAUUUGAAUUAGUUCGAGGCUUAAUCGACUUAAUGGUACCAUUAGGGGCAAUAUCGUCUGUUAACGAUUUAUCGAACUUCCUAAACAUGCAAACAUUCUAUUGAGCAUGUAAAUGACGUCGUAAUUAUUUUAUAGAACAGGGUUUGACACUAUAUCAUAGAGUUAUCACACCCCCAAACUUAAGAUUUGACUAGUCCUCGAGCAAAAUAUAGAAAAUAACCUAACUUACGAAAAUCAAAUUCAGUUAAAGAAAACUAAAUAUAGUUAUUAUUACUACUAAUACUACUACUAUUACUACUAGAGAUAAAAUGCACCAACUCAAUGAUUCUUUAUAAUUUCCUCAAAAGUAUGUCUAUAAAUCAUUAAUCUAAGGAAAAAUAAAGGUCUCAUUCAAAUUCAUGUUUCAAUUCUAAAGCACAUUCUUGAAUGGAUUUCCGUGUGUGUGUGAAAUCUUUUACCAAGAAUAUCAUGAUAUCCGGAUGAAUUUAUGCCAACACAAGUUUCAUAUUAGUACUACAUUUUCAUAAAUUUACUUUUCAUCUCUCUCUCCACUAAUGUAGACCAAUACAAAGCUAGGAAUCAGUAGGAGUUUAUAAAGCUUGUAAUGUAUGGCUAGGGUCAAGGUAUGAUAAAGGAUAUUAAUGUGGCUCAAAUCACUCUAAGCACAUAAUUAUUCUAGGACCUAUAUAUAUAGAGCUCUAUUUUCCUUCUCCUAGUACACUUUUUCUUCCACAUUUGAAUUUUUCUUUCAUUCAACACAUUUUUUUUUUUCACAAUUUCACACCCCCAAACUUAUUUUCAUUGUAUUGUAGGUAGUGGGGUUAUUUUGCAUAUUUUGAAUUUUUUUCUUUUUUUCACAUCAACAUCACUUUUCCACCUUUUUCAACAUUUAGCUCAAUUUAUAUUUCCUAAAACAAUAUACAUGCUUAGGAGUGAGGGUUGCAAAAUUGAAAAAUUAAUUUUAAAGCUAGGCUCAAUUAUUAUGUAGUUAAACAAAGAAAAAGAAAAUUAGGCUCAAAAUGGGUAUACUAGGGAUAAAAAUUUAACAAGGUUUGCUUUUUGGGCUCAAACGGUCCAAAGAUGGCCUAGAUCAUCUCCCUAACUAAGUAUUUCCUAGGAUUUUGCAUCGAGAGAAAAUCAAGUAAAUUCUAGAAUUUAUGACAUAAUUUAAAAUUCAUAUUAGUAUAAACCUUCUCUAAAAAUUUAUAAUAAUUCAAAGUAAAAGAUAUAGUGCUCAAAAUUAUGGAAAUCACAUCCUAACAAUGAUACUUAACAAAAGACUUUAGCAUGAAUCCAAACAAAAACCUUAUUCACCAAAAGUUAAGAAUUUAAGACAACUAGUUAUCAUCAUUGGAUAAAAAAAAUCAUUGAAAAAAAAUUGGCACAACUUUACUCUAGAUUCCUAAAAUUCAAACAAGAAAUAAAUUUAUUUACCAACUAAUCUUACAUUAUUUAUACUACGCAUGCAAAUAAAAUUAAAUCUAAACUUCCACAGGAUAUUCAUUACCAGAAAAAUAAAUUCACCCCCCCAAACUUAAAUUAAACAUUGUCCUUAAUGUUAGAAAAAAUAAAGAAAUGGUAAAAAAAUAUUCCCCUGAUGAUUGGAUGAAUUUUUGAAAAGCUCUAAUCCUCCUCCUUAUUGUUAUCAUCUUCAUUGUCACUUGUAAGAAUUUUUUUUACUACAAAAAAGAAAAAUAAAUAAAUAAUGUAGAGAAAUAAUGAAUAAAAAUAACUGAAAAGAAAAUAAAUAAAAAAAAAAGUCUUUGUUGGGUAAUGGGUAAAUGGGUUAGUGGGUAAGUUGGUAAAUGGGUUGGUGGGUAAGUGGGUAGUAGGUAAAUAGGUAAUGGGUAGUCCAAAAAAAAAAAAAAGGAUUUGGGUUAGGUUAGUGGGUUGCCCAAUGUUGGCAGCCCAAUAGAGGGUGGUGGGUAGUGGGUUGCCAAAUGUUGGCAACCCACUUCAGGGGGGGCCGUGGCCUACCCUAUGUGGGAGGCACGACCUACAUUCAAAUGGCCCCAUUUUCUUUUUGUUUUUUUUCAGAGCUGCGGCUCACAUUCUUUACACCCCACGAGGCUGCGGCUUCCCAUAGUGGGAGCCGCAACUUACCACUCUUUUUUUGAAUUUUUUUUUUAUGUUUUUUCUGAAUUUUUUUUUGAAAAUUAUUUUUUAGAAUAAUUUUUUUGACAUGAACUUUUUUUUGAAAUUUUUUUUGUAAUAUAUUUUUUUCUUGAAAUUUUUUUGAUUUGUUUUUAAAUUUGUUUGAAUUUUUUUUACAUGAACCUGCACAAAUAAAAAUGAGUGUUAAUAAUUUAAUAAUUAAAUAAAUAAAAAUAAAAAUAAACUAAAAUAAAAUAAAAGAAAGUAAGUUAGAGUGCUUGGGUUGCCUCCCAAGAAGUGCUUCUUUAUAGUCACUAGCUUGACUUUAGUUGAGCUUUGAGUUUGCAUGGAAAAAGCUUGAGGUAUGAAAGUACCCUCAUCCUAAGAUGAGGUUGUAGUGCCUUUAACUCAAGAUUUGAUGCUUGCUUAACCCAAGAUGGUGGAAUAGGUUGACUCUUGUCUAACUUCUCAAAUUUAGUUCUUUUUGAAUAAUGUGCUUUUGCUAUAACCUCCUUAGGUAAAUUAUCAACUGUAUCCAAAAAAAGUAUAGGAGGCACAUAUGGCUUGAUUUGUGGUGAUGUAGAUAUUUCCUCUUCUUACUUAAUUUCUUCAUCUUGAACUUGAUUGCUGGAAGUACUUCCUUUAUCUACUUUAUCUCCAUCAUCUUGAAAUCUAUUAUUGAUGGCAUUAGCUAGUUGAUCCAUUUGUAUCUCAAGAUUUCGGAUUGAUUCUGCCUGACUUUGAAUGAUGGCAUUAGUCCUUGUCAUGAAGGCAUCUGUCUUUGUCAUGAAUUGUAUGAACAUAUCCUCCAUUAAAUGCAUUUUCUCUAGCAUAGGAGCUCUAACUUGUGACUAAAAACCAUUAUGGAAAAUAGGCUAUGAUGAAUAUGUAGGACCAUGAUUAUUACUCCAUGAAAAAUUUUCGUGAUUCCAUCCUGAAUUGUAAUUGUUGGAGUAUGACUUAUUUUGUUGCCCAUCGAAGCUUUCAUAAAAUUGCAUUGAUUUGUAAUAAGUUGGACGACAAUCACUUGAAUGCCUAUCUCCACAAAAUUCGCAUGUAACAAAAGGACUUUGAAAAGCAUUAUGACCCCAGGUGUUAAUUUUCUGAGACAAAGCAUCUACUUGGUUGGUUAAAACACUAAUUGCAUCCAAUGCAUAAUCACUAGCAACCUUCUUAGGCACAAAUUGUUCAGAUGGCCACACAUAGUUCAUCACCUUAAUUAAAAGUAUCUAAAAAUAAAAAGAAAAGUUUGAAGUAAGAUUAUGAAUGUUUGGUAUUAAUAUUAACAAGAAGAAUUAAAAAUCAAUUCCCUAGCAACGGUGCCAAAAACUNUCUCAAAUUUUAUCCCCGAAUGGAAAAAUUACGAUUUUGCCCCUACACUCCAAAAAUCACCAGAAUUAAACUUUUUCACUUCGUAUCAUUAAAUUAUACUCCAAAUAGUUAAUCUUGGUCAAAAAUUUCACUCCAUGAUCAAAUUAUUAGCUUAGGUGGCAAAAUGACGAUUUUGCCAUUGAACAUCAAAAUUUCCAAUUUUACCCUAAAUGAACCCUCGAACUCCGAACAAUCAUUUUUAGUUAUUCCUGGACUAUAAAAUAUUAAAUUUCAUCCUACAAUUCUUAUUUGAACUAGUUUGAGGUUAAAUCAACUCAAGUAUAUCGUUAGGUACGAUAUCGGGUUUCGUCUUUUCUUAGGUGCUUUCCUAGCAUAAUAACAUGCUACUCAGUGCAUGUAUGUCAUGACAUGUAUUUAUAGGGUCGGGUUUUACAAUCGUAAUAAAGUAGAGUAUUGUUCCCACAGAGAAUUAUUUAAUUCUUAUUGUUAACUACUAGAAUUAUAACACCCUAAUUUUAUCCAAACAAUUAAAAUAAAAAAAUUAAAACUAAUAAACUAAAACUAAAAUUAAAUAGUAAAUAAAACUCACUUAACUACCAUACCUAAGAUUAUAAUAUCCCUCAAUACUUCAUUUGAUUAAUGUUUCUCUCUCUUAACUUAGUUUAAUGGAUUAAGUUGCUAACCUAGAGUCCUAAAUUAUUUAUAAGUCUUUGUCAAGUUUCUCAUAAAAAUACCUAUCCCAAUUAAUUUACUAUAUGUCUAUGUAAAUUAAAUUGAAGAAAGAUUCAUUAAGUUUGUGCUCUAAUCCUGGCUACGUAUGGCUUAUAAAUGUAUGUCUACCCUAUAUGCAAAUCAAACCACCUAAUCAACUAAGUGUAUUCGAUCAUACGCUAUUUUAUUCAAGGUCUACCUAAAUCUCCUUCGUCAAGAUUUAACUUAGGUUUCCAAUUCAAUCUAAUUGGUGAUCAGGUAAUUAGAAGCAUUAAGAACAGAAUAAAAUAAAUAACUUAAAUCUAUUAAACAUAACUAAAAGAGAGAUAAAUAAUUCAGACUACAUAUUGAGUUCAAUCAUAAUGUUAGAUUAAGAAUUUAGUUCCCCAUCAAGUCACACAUCAUCAUCGAAUAAAGUUUAAACAAUAAAAACAAACUAAGAAAAUAAGAGAAUAAUAAAAAAGAAUAAACUCAAGAAUUAUAAUUUUGAUCUUCCAAGUCUUCUUGAAUCCUUCAAAAUCUUCUCAGCUUCAAUGACUUUGUGGUUUGACUCUCAGCUUUCAAUCUGGUGUUUCUUUUUCUUCUUUCUUUUUCUCUUAAGUCUUCCGAAAGGUUGCUUUUAUAGGCUUUGAAGUUAGGCCAAGUUGGGUGAAGAAAGAAGUCAAAUUCAGUUGGG